AUAUCAGAAGUGAGAAUGCUGACAUGAGUAACGAGAAAUCCUGUGAAAAACACGAUCGCCUGCCAGUGGAAGGCUUUCUGCGUUCAGUCAAUCUACGCAGAGUGAAUCGGUCCCUAAGGAACCCCCGAAAGGGCUGCCGUCCGAUGGGUACACGAAAGUGACGAAGUUGCUUUGACUACUGAACCAUGCCUGGAUCGUCAGAGCGAAUUGGAUGAUCGGGCCGAGGGCUGCCCCCUCUUCCCCUCGCUCUCCUUUCCUUAAUAUUCACCGUCGAGUCAUCAAAGCCGUCAACUAAUUCAGAGGGGCUCGGCUGGCCCGGUCGCCCUACGCUACUGGCGCUUCCAAAGGCGAAGCUCUUGUCUUUGGCGACAAGCAAACGGAGGGCUAAAACCUGUAGUUUUGAAGCAAGGGAUGAGCGCGAAAGCCGUUGCGCUUCCGUACACGUGCAUACGUUUUCUUGCUGGGGCGGACACGGAUUUCUCUCUAAAGGCGAAGAAAAAGAAGUGGGCGAACACUCGGCCCAGCGGGCGAACAUGCCGGCUCCGGCUCCGCGCACCUACUGACACCUUUCGAAGCACUUUCACGUGUAAACCGAAGUCGUCUUGCCGAACUCCUUCCUUUCUCAUUUCAGUCCUCGCCUUUUUCAUCUUCCGUAGGGGCCUUUAGUCUUUUGAUUAGAGUGGAGGUCGCGAGAGAGCAGAGCGUACCGCCCUGCCAUAGUCGCGAGGAUCUUAAUAGUCGGCCACGACUGUUGUCAUAGUCAACGACGGUUGAAACUUCCAGGAAAAAACUUCGAAUUGGGAGGGCGAUCCUCCCGGUGAACUGACCGUACCCCAAACCGACACAGGUGAACAAGUAGAGUAUACUAGGGCGCGUCGAGAGAACCAUGUCGAAGGAACUCGGCAAAAUGACCCCGUAACUUCGGGAGAAGGGGUGCUCUCCUA
rnacentral:ncRNA from 1 species